AAAGUGCGAGAACUGAGGUGAUCUGCAUUUAGCGCGAAUCCUUAGAACUUUGAACACAUAAUGUGGCCUUCGAGUAAAAUCGACUGGCUGUGUUUGUUUGAGCGUCUUAUUAAUAAUAACAUCCUUUAUGGAUAUAGUGGAGAGCAAAGAAAGAUCUUUAAUUAGAUUGAUUAACUUACUCUUUUAAAUAAUAUUGAGAAAAUUAAUUUUUUUUCUCUUUCGAAAGACUAUUAGAAAAUUAAAGUACUAAUUACUUUUGUGAACGAAUAAAGUAGUUCUCUUUAAGUUUUUGAGAAAUAAUUUUCAUUUAAUAAUAUGUUUAGUAGGUUGAGGAAAUUAUUUUUUUUCUUUGUUUAACCCCAUGACUAUUAAUAACUAAAAGACCUCAAAUCAAGCACGA
rnacentral:misc_RNA from 1 species